GAUGAACGCUAGCGGCAGGCCUAAUACAUGCAAGCCGAACGGCAAGAUUUUCAGCAAUGGAAAUCCUAGAGUGGCGUAAGGGUGCGUAACACGUAUGCAAUCUGCCCUCAACAGGAGGAUAGCUCCCCGAAAGGGGAAUUAAGACUCCAUAAGAUCUUAGAGUGGCAUCACUUAGAGAUUAAACUACCAGGGGUUGAGGAUGAGCAUGCGCAUGAUUAGUUAGUUGGCGGGGUAACGGCCCACCAAGACGAUGAUCAUUAGGGGAACUGAGAGGUUGAU
rnacentral:rRNA from 1 species